rnacentral:tRNA from 1 species
CGGCGGUUCGAUAGGCUGAAGAGGACGGUUUGCUAAAUCGUUAGGUCGGGUAACCGGCGCGGGGGUUCGAAUCCCCCAUUCUCCGU